rnacentral:miRNA from 1 species
ACCACUCCCACAAACGUCUACGGCCGCGCCUACAUAGUUUGCAUGUUUACAAUUCUAAUUUUGAACAGCCAAUCAGGUUCUUGCUAACAAUUACAAUUAAACGUCGAUUGGCUGUUUAAAAUUAGAAUUAUAAACAUGCAAAAAUAUGUAGGUUUGGUCGUAGACGUUUGUGGGAGUGGU